CUUGCCUCCCACGGACUCGGCCGCGUCGACGGACAAUCCACGUUUUUCCGCGCCGUAGCCUUAACGCAUUAAGUGCCCCGCCUGGGAGUAGGCGGGUUUGUCACGUCUGCUGUGAAAGCCCGGGGCUCAACCCCGGGUGUGCAGUGGGUACGGGCAGACUAGAGUGCAGUAGGGGAGACUGGAAUUCCUGGUGUAGCGGUUGAAAUGCGUAGAGAUCAGGAAGAACAUCGGUGGCGAAGGCGCUCUGCUGGACCAUAACUGACACUCAGGGACGAAAGCUAGGGGAGCGAAUGGGAUUAGAUACCCCAGUAGUCCUAGCCGUAAACGAUGGAUACUAGGUGUUGUCUGUAUCGACCCGGACAGUGCCGUAGCUAACGCGUUAAGUAUCCCGCCUG
rnacentral:rRNA from 1 species